rnacentral:misc_RNA from 1 species
GAAAUGCGAUAAGUAGUGUGAAUUGCAGAAUUCAGUGAAUCAUCGAAUCUUUGAACGCACAUUGCGCCCUUUGGUAUUCCAAAGGGCAUGCCUGUUCGAGCGUCGUUUGUACCCUCAAGCUUUGCUUGGUGUUGGGCGUCUUGUCUCCAGUUCGCUGGAGACUCGCCUUAAAGUAAUUGGCAGCCGGCCUACUGGUUUCGGAGCGCAGCACAAGUCGCGCUCUCUUCCAGCCAAGGUCAGCAUCCACAAAGCCUUUUUUCAACUUUUGACCUCGGAUCAGGUAGGGAUACCCGCUGAACUUAAGC